UACCAGCUCUCCGAGUGGUAGGGAUGAUUAUUGGGCUUAAAGCGUCCGUAGCCGGCUAAGCAAGUCUCCUGUUAAAUUCAGCGACCUAAUCGUUGAGCCGCGGGAGAUACUACUAGGCUAGGAGGCGGGAGAGGUCAACGGUACUUCCGGGGUAGGGGUGAAAUCCUAUAAUCCCGGGAGGACCACCAGUGGCGAAGGCUGUUGACUAGAACGCGCUCGACGGUGAGGGACGAAAGCUGGGGGAGCGAACCGGAUUAGAUACCCGGGUAGUCCCAGCUGUAAACGAUGCGAGCUAGGUGUUGGGGUGGCUACGUGCCACUUCAGUGCCGCAGGGAAGCCAUUAAGCUCGCCGCCUGGGGAGUACGGCCGCAAGGCUGAAACUUAAAGGAAUUGGCGGGGGAGCACCACAAGGCGUGAAGCUUGCGGUUC
rnacentral:rRNA from 1 species